rnacentral:rRNA from 1 species
UACGUAGGGGGCAAGCGUUAUCCGGAAUUAUUGGGCGUAAAGAGUGCGUAGGUGGUCUUGUAAGCGCGGGGUGAAAGGCAAUAGCUUAACUAUUGUGAGCCCUGCGAACUGUGAGACUUGAGUGCAGGAGAGGAAAGCGGAAUUCCUAGUGUAGCGGUGAAAUGCGUAGAUAUUAGGAGGAACACCAGUGGCGAAGGCGGCUUUCUGGACUGUAACUGACACUGAGGCACGAAAGCGUGGGGAGCAAACAGGAUUAGAUACCCUGGUAGUCCACGCCGUAAACGAUGAGCACUAGGUGUCGGGGCCGCAAGGUUUCGGUGCCGCAGUUAACGCAUUAAGUGCUCCGCCUGGGGAGUACGCACGCAAGUGUGAA